rnacentral:rRNA from 1 species
UUAAAAAGCUCGUAGUUGGAUUUCUGUUGAGGAUGACCGGUCCGCUCUUUGAGCGCGUAUCUGGUUCAGCCUUGGCAUCCUCUUGGGGAACGCUACUGUGCUUGAUUGCAUGGGGCGGUAUUCAAGACUUUUACUUUGAGGAAAUUAGAGUGUUCACUGCAAGCGUUAGCAAUUGAAUACAUUAGCAUGGAAUAAUAAUAUAGGACCUUGGUACUAUUUUGUUGGUUUCUAGAACUAAGGUAAUGAUUAAUAGGGACAAUUGGGGGCAUUCGUAUUAACGCGUCAGAGGUGGAAUUCUUAGAUUGCGUUACGACGAACUACUGCGAAAGCAUUUGCCAAGGAUGUUUUCAUUGAUCAAGAACGAAAGUAUGGGGAU